CUGGGGUGAAGUCGUAACAAGGCAGCCGUAUCGGAAGGUGCGGCUGGAUCACCUCCUUUCUAAGGAGAAUU
rnacentral:rRNA from 1 species